GACGAACGCUGGCGGCGUGCCUAAUACAUGCAAGUCGAGCGGAGCUUAUCCUUCGGGGUAAGCUUAGCGGCGGACGGGUGAGUAACACGUAGGCAACCUACCCUGUAGACUGGGAUAACUACCGGAAACGGUAGCUAAUACCGGAUAAUUCCUUUCUUCUCCUGAAGAAAGGAUGAAAGGCGGAGCAAUCUGCUACUAGAGGAUGGGCCUGCGGCGCAUUAGCUAGUUGGUGGGGUAACGGCCCACCAAGGCGACGAUGCGUAGCCGACCUGAGAGGGUGAACGGCCACACUGGGGCGGAGACACGGCCCAGACUCCUACGGGAGGCAGCAGUAGGGAAUCUUCCGCAAUGGGCGAAAGCCUGACGGAGCAACGCCGCGUGAGUGAUGAAGGUUUUCGGAUCGUAAAGCUCUGUUGCCAGGGAAGAACGUCCGGUAGAGUAACUGCUACCGGAGUGACGGUACCUGAGAAGAAAGCCCCGGCUAACUACGUGCCAGCAGCCGCCGUAA
rnacentral:rRNA from 1 species